rnacentral:rRNA from 1 species
AGUGAACGCUGGCGGUAGGCCUAACACAUGCAAGUCGAACGGCAGCACAGUAAGAGCUUGCUCUUACGGGUGGCGGGUGGCGGACGGGUGCGGAAUACAUCGGAAUCUACUUUUUCGAGGGGUGUAACGACGGGAAAAUGACGCUAGUACCUCAUACGACCAACGGGUGAAACCAGGGAAUAUUGGGACUUUGCGGGAUUGAAAGAGCCGGUGUCGGAUUAGCUAGUUGGAGGGGUAAAGGCACACCAAGGCGACGGUCCGUAGCUGGUCGGAGAGGAUGAUCAGCCCCACUGGAACUGAGACAACCUCCAGACCCCUGCGGGAGGGUGUAGCCGGGAACAUUGGACAAUGCGUGCAAGCCCGCUCCUGGCAUACCGAGUGCGGCAAGAAGGCCUCCGGGUUGUAAAGCCCUCUUGUUGGGAAAGAACAGCAGUCUGCUUACAUUCCGCCGUGCUGACGGUACCCAAACAAUAAGCACCGGCUAAUUUCGUG